UGCGUCAGUAUGAGGUAUGCGUGCGCCCCCUCCGACUAUAUAUAGUACAGUAAAUACAUGACAAGUAUCCCUCACCAGUCUGCAGUACCAUGCUGCCGUCUUCUUGCGUCAGUAUGAGGUAUGCGUGCGCCCCCUCCGACUAUAUAUAGUACAGUAAAUACAUGACAAGUAUCCCUCACCAGUCUGCAGUACCAUGCUGCCGUCUUCUUGCGUCAGUAUGAGGUAUGCGUGCGCCCCCUCCGACUAUAUAUAGUACAGUAAAUACAUGACAAGUAUCCCUCACCAGUCUGCAGUACCAUGCUGCCGUCUUCUUGCGUCAGUAUGAGGUAUGCGUGCGCCCCCUCCGACUCCCGCGCGCCCUCGCCCGGCUCGCCCAGGAUCGACCACAUGUCGAUACAACC